rnacentral:rRNA from 1 species
AAUAGAUACCCCGGUAGUCCACGCCGUAAACGGUGGGCGCUAGGUGUGGGUUUCCUUCCACGGGAUCCGUGCCGUAGCUAACGCAUUAAGCGCCCCGCCUGGGGAGUACGGCCGCAAGGCUAAAACUCAAAGGAAUUGACGGGGGGCCCGCACAAGCGGCGGAGCAUAUGGAUUAAUUCGAUGCAACGCGAAGAACCUUACCUGGGUUUGACAUAUACCGGAAAGCCGUAGAGAUACGGCCCCCCUUGUGGUCGGUAUACAGGUGGUGCAUGGCUGUCGUCAGCUCGUGUCGUGAGAUGUUGGGUUAAGUCCCGCAACGAGCGCAACCCUUGUCUUAUGUUGCCAGCACGUAAUGGUGGGGACUCGUAAGAGACUGCCGGGGUCAACUCGGAGGAAGGUGGGGACGACGUCAAGUCAUCAUGCCCCCUUAUGUCCAGGGGCUUCACACAUGCUACAAUGGCCGGUACAGAGGGCUGCGAUACCGUGAGGUGAGCGAAUCCCUUAAAGCCGGUCUCAGUUCGGAUCGGGGUCUGCAACUCGACCCCGUGAAGUCGGAGUCGC